rnacentral:rRNA from 1 species
CUAGGAAUUUUGCGCAAUGGGCGAAAGCCUGACGCAGCAACGCCGCGUGAGGGAAGAAGGCCUUCGGGUUGUAAACCUCUUUUAGCAGGGACGAACACAAUGACGGUACCUGCAGAAAAAGCACCGGCUAACUACGUGCCAGCAGCCGCGGUAAUACGUAGGGUGCAAGCGUUAUUCGGAUUUAUUGGGCGUAAAGCGCAUGCAGGCGGUUUGAUUAGUCUGGUGUGAAAGCCCUCGACUCAAUCGAGGAAGUGCAUUGGAUACUGUCAGACUAGAGUGCAGGAGGGGUGAGCGGAAUUCCGGGUGUAGAGGUGAAAUUCGUAGAUAUCCGGAGGAACAACAGCGGCGAAGGCGGCUCACUGGACUGUAACUGACGCUCAGAUGCGAUAGUGUGGGGAGCGAACAG